rnacentral:rRNA from 1 species
UACGUAGGCGGUUUUGUAAGCCCGACGUGAAAUACUGGAGCUUAACUCCAGAACUGCGUUGGGAACUGUGAGACUUGAGUCAUGGAAGGGGAGUUGGAAUUCCAGGUGUAGGGGUGAAAUCUGUAGAUAUCUGGAAGAACACCGGUGGCGAAGGCGAACUCCUGGCCAAUGACUGACGCUGAGGUACGAAAGUGCGGGGAGCAAACA